UACGUAGGUGGCAAGCGUUAUCCGGAAUUACUGGGCGUAAAGCGUGCGCAGGCGGCUGCUCAAGUCAGGGGUGAAAGCCCAGAGCUCAACUCUGGAAUUGCCUUUGAGACUGAGUGGCUUGAGUACGGGAGAGGUGAGUGGAAUUCCCAGUGUAGAGGUGAAAUUCGUAGAUAUUGGGAAGAACACCGGUGGCGAAGGCGGCUCACUGGCCCGUAACUGACGCUCAUGCACGACAGCGUGGGGAUCAAACAGG
rnacentral:rRNA from 1 species